rnacentral:rRNA from 1 species
AUUGAACGCUGGCGGAAUGCUUUACACAUGCAAGUCGAACGGCAGCACGGACUUCGGUCUGGUGGCGAGUGGCGAACGGGUGAGUAAUGUAUCGGAACAUGCCCAGUCGUGGGGGAUAACGUAGUGAAAAUUACGCUAAUACCGCAUACGAUCUAUGGAUGAAAGCGGGGGAUCGCAAGACCUCGCGCGAUUGGAGCGGCCGAUAUCAGAUUAGGUAGUUGGUGGGGUAAAGGCCCACCAAGCCAACGAUCUGUAGCUGGUCUGAGAGGACGACCAGCCACACUGGAACUGAGACACGGUCCAGACUCCUACGGGAGGCAGCAGUGGGGAAUUUUGGACAAUGGGCGAAAGCCUGAUCCAGCCAUUCCGCGUGCAGGAUGAAGGCCCUCGGGUUGUAAACUGCUUUUGUACAGAACGAAAAGGUUUCUACUGAUACUAGGAGCUCAUGACGGUACUGUAAGAAUAAGCACCGGCUAACUACGUGCCAGCCGCCGCGGUAA